UACGUAGGAUGCAAGCGUUGUCCGGAAUUAUUGGGCGUAAAGAGCGCGCAGGCGGUAUGACAAGUCAGAUGUGAAAGAGGCCGGCUUAACCGGCAAGGGUCAUUUGAAACUGUCAGACUAGAGUGCAGCAGAGGAUAGUGGAAUUCCCGGUGUAGUGGUGAAAUGCGUAGAUAUCGAGAGGAACACCAGUGGCGAAGGCGAGUCCCUGGACACUUCCUGACACUGAGGCACGAAAGCUAGGGGAGCAAACAGG
rnacentral:rRNA from 1 species